CUGGACCCUCGGUGGUCUGAGUGUGUAGAUGUCUGAGUGGACUUGUGGAAAUCUGUUCCAAUCAGGGGGACUUUUGUGUUUGUCCAGGACGUCUCAGUUGGAAUGAGAGUAGGAUUUUGUGUUUGGGAUUUUCCGUCCAUACUGACUGCAUGCUGAAAAUAUGGGAGCGUCCUGGCACUCAUGGGAUCACCAGUGAGGUUUCAGCCCAACAUAAAGACUUCUUUACCUGUUGCGAUGAGAAGAAGCAGCAGGCAGGCGUGGAGCUGCAUUUCCAGUGAGUAGACAUUUCAGUGUCAAAAAUCCCAAAUUACUGCAGAUGUUAUUUUUUAUUUAAAUCCACCCUAUCGCUGCGCUGUAACACGGGCAAACUGCGCAAAUGGUGUCCAGUCUUCCCGCAGAGCACCAAAUGAAACGCAGAGGCGUCAGAGACGCUCUUCGCUUUGGCCCACCUCUGUCCUCUUGUCUCAGUCACAUAAAUCAGGUUCACGUGUGAGUGUGUGUGUGCGUGUGUGUUUGGGCUCUAUGGGCUCAGCACCGCGCCUCAGGCGGUUCCGCGCGCUCGUUAAAGUCAGGGGGACACUGAAGAGGAGAGGAAGGAAUCCUCUGAUCGCUGCUGGAGCUGAUUUUUACACAGAACUAAACUCCUCACAGGAAAUAUUUAAAACAGGAAGCAUCAGGAUGAGAGAGGAGCUUCUCCAUUAGAGACAUGUGAGUGACCGCUGUCCCUGACAGGGGCGGAUCUAGGAUUUUUAUGACUGUGGGGCCAAGAGGCCACAAUAUUUAUAGAGAGGCCAAGUAUCAGUCUAACAUCGUCACACACAAUUUCUGGUAAGGUAGAUAUGCUUUUGUAAUACAUUUCUCAAUUUUAUUACUGUUGGGAUGACUUCUAUUCUAAUUUUUUUAUACUAUUAGGAAAAUCUUGUGUUAUAAACAAUUGUUAUUGCUGGGUAGGAUAGUUUUGGUAAAAAAUUAUGCAUUUUUAAUACCUUGUAGGAUACCUUUUGUACAAAUGUGGUGUUUUGUAGUUUUGUAUAUGAUGACUUUUGUUUUAAAUUCUCAUUUUCUAUAUUGUUUUAAUAUUAUUUCGUAAUACUGUGCCAAAAAACCCGACAAGGGGCAGAAGUAAAUUAGCACUAGCACUAGCUAAAGCUUGAUUUAUACAUAUCCGUCAGACAGAGACGUUUUGCUCUUGGAUUUCUUCGUCACCUGAGGAGUGUUGCAAAGUAAUUCCCUGCCAAGACAACAGAUGGUGUAGCACUUUUCUGUGGUAUCAUGCCACCUUUACACUCAUGCAUGUGGUUCACGUGUAUUUACUAAUGUGUUUGUUUAUAUUUUUCAGAAACUUUAUAACAUGGACAAAUUUCUCCCUCAUUCUCCUCCACCUCUUCACGCGGUCACCACCUCUACACCCACCUUUCCUGUAAUUUCCGUCCACGAAUAAAACUUUUGUGUCAUAUUUUUGUACUCCUUCAGUCAAUAAACAUUUAUAUAUUCGG